UCCUACGGGAGGCAGCAGUGGGGAAUAUUGGACAAUGGGGGCAACCCUGAUCCAGCCAUGCCGCGUGUGUGAAGAAGGCCCUCGGGUUGUAAAGCACUUUCAGCGAGGAAGAACGCCUAGCGGUUAAUACCCGCUAGGAAAGACAUCACUCGCAGAAGAAGCACCGGCUAACUCCGUGCCAGCAGCCGCGGUAAUACGGAGGGUGCAAGCGUUAAUCGGAAUUACUGGGCGUAAAGCGCGCGUAGGUGGCUUGAUAAGCCGGUUGUGAAAGCCCCGGGCUCAACCUGGGAACGACAUCCGGAACUGUCAAGCUAGAGUGCAGGAGAGGAAGGUAGAAUUCCCGGUGUAGCGGUGAAAUGCGUAGAGAUCGGGAGGAAUACCAGUGGCGAAGGCGGCCUUCUGGACUGACACUGACACUGAGGUGCGAAAGCGUGGGUAGCAAACAGGAUUAGAUACCAUGGUAGUCCACGCCGUAAACGAUGUCGACCAGCCGUUGGGUGCCUAGCGCACUUUGUGGCGAAGUUAACGCGAUAAGUCGACCGCCUGGGGAGUACGGCCGCAAGGUUAAAACUCAAAUGAAUUGACGGGGGCCCGCACAAGCGGUGGAGCAUGUGGUUUAAUUCGAUGCAACGCGAAGAACCUUACCUACUCUUGACAUCCUGCGAAUUUGGUAGAGAUACCUUAGUGCCUUCGGGAACGCAGAGACAGGUGCUGCAUGGCUGUCGUCAGCUCGUGUUGUGAAAUGUUGGGUUAAGUCCCGUAACGAGCGCAACCCUUGUCCUUAUUUGCCAGCGCGUAAUGGCGGGAACUCUAAGGAGACUGCCGGUGACAACCGGAGGAAGGUGGGGGACGACGUCAGUCAUCAUGGCCCUUACGAGUAGGGC
rnacentral:rRNA from 1 species